rnacentral:lncRNA from 1 species
CUGGCAUUACAUUUAUCACAUGAAAUACGAUAUUUUUAAAAUAUCAAACUACAGUCGGCCAUAAAAAAGAACAAAAUAAGGUCAUUUGCAGCAACAUGGAUGGACCUGGAGAUUGUCAUAGUGAAGUAAGUCAGACAGAGAAAGGCAAAUAUCAUAUGCUGCUUAUAUGUGGAAUCUAAAGAAAAAAAAAAAAGGUACAGUUGAACUUAUUUACAGUAGAGUCCCAGAGGUGGAACUUAUGGUUACCAGGGGGGAAGUGUCAGGGGAGGGAUAAAUUGGGAGAUUGGGACUGACAUAUACACACUACUAUAUAUAAAAUAGAUAACUAAUAAGGACUUACUGUAUAGCACAGGGAACUCUACUCAGGACUCUGUAAUGACCUAUACGGGAAAAGAAUCUAAAAAAGAGUAAAUAUAUGUAUAUGUAUAACUGAUUCACUUUGCUGUACAGCUGAAACUAACACAGCAUUGUAAAUCAACUAUACUCCAAUAAUUUUUUUUUUUUUUUUUUUUGCGGUACACGGGCCUCUCACUGUUGUGGCCUCUCCCGUUGCGGAGCACAGGCUCCGGACAUGCAGGCUCAGCGGCCAUAGGCUCACGGGCCCAGCCUCUCCGCGGCAUGUGGGAUCUUCCCGGACCGGGGCACGAACCCGUGUCCCCUGCACCGGCAGGCAGACUCUCAACCACUGCGCCACCAGGGAAACCCACUCCAAUAAUUUUUAAAAGAUAAAAUAUCAAACUGCAAAUAUGGCCCAAGGAAGAGGAGGAAUGAUACUUUGAGAAGAAAGAAGUCACGGAAUAGUAAAAGAAAAAGCCCUCCUGAUCCUGGGAAUGGUGAGACAAAGAGAAGGUCAGACACAGGGGGCGAGGGUUUAAUCCCUGGUUGGAGAACCAAAAUCCCACAUGCUGCGCAGCGCGGUCAAAAAAAAAAAGAGAGACAUGAAGAAGAGAUGAUGCUUUUCUAUCUCCAGAUGUUGUUGUGACUGGUUAUGACAGCAGGCAGUGCUGCAACAGCUGGAAGAUGAAGCAGACCCAUGUGGCGGAAGGAGCCAAGAGUACUACAGACAAGCAGGACUGAAGCCCUGAGGUAACAAGUUUUUUUU